GGCUGGUCCAAAGGUAGUGAGUUAUCUCAAGUGAUGGUUCACAGUUACAGAUCGAACUCCUGGUUCUACUCCUCACCCCCUCACUACUGCACCUGACUAGUCCUUA
ensembl:misc_RNA Y_RNA Y RNA